UACGAAGGGGGCUAGCGUUGUUCGGAAUUACUGGGCGUAAAGCGCGCGCAGGCGGUUUUUCAAGUCAGUGGUGAAAGCCCGGAGCUCAACUCCGGAACUGCCAUUGAAACUGUGAAACUUGAGGAUGAGAGAGGUGAGUGGAAUUCCCAGUGUAGAGGUGAAAUUCGUAGAUAUUGGGAAGAACACCGGUGGCGAAGGCGGCUUCCUGGACCGGCAUUGACGCUGAGGCGCGAAAGCUAGGGGAGCAAACGGG
rnacentral:rRNA from 1 species